UACGAAGGGGGCUAGCGUUGUUCGGAAUUACUGGGCGUAAAGCGUAUGCAGGCGGAUCGUUAAGUCGGGGGUGAAAUCCCGAGGCUCAACCUCGGAACUGCCUUCGAUACUGGCGACCUUCGAGUCCGGGAGAGGUGAGUGGAACUCCGAGUGUAGAGGUGAAAUUCGUAGAUAUUCGGAAGAACACCAGUGGCGAAGGCGGCUCACUGGCCCGGUACUGACGCUGAGGCGCGAAAGCUAGGGGAGCAAACGGG
rnacentral:rRNA from 1 species